rnacentral:misc_RNA from 1 species
CUUGCUCUCACUUUACUUCUCUUUGUCCAUGGAAGGAAAAUCAAGAAAUGCCCUUCUCUUCUUUUCCUUCACCAUUUUCCUUUAUCUGUCCACCACUUCGUCCAUCCCACUCCACUACCAGACCUUAGUUCUCAACCCUCUCCCUAGCCAGCCCAUUCUCUCUGAUUUCGAAUCAGAAAAUGUCACUGCAUCCGACGCCACCGAAACAGACCCAACAGAAUCCACCUUCUUCGUACAGUUACAUCACAUUGACGCAUUAUCCUUGAACAAAACUCCUCAGGAACUCUUCAGCCUGAGGCUCCACCGCG